rnacentral:rRNA from 1 species
UGGCCUACGGGGGGCAGCAGUGGGGAAUCUUGCACAAUGGAGGAAACUCUGAUGCAGCGAUGCCGCGUGAGUGAAGAAGGCCCUUGGGUUGUAAAGCUCUUUCGUCGGGGAAGAAAAUGACUGUACCCGAAUAAGAAGGUCCGGCUAACUUCGUGCCAGCAGCCGCGGUAAUACGAAGGGACCUAGCGUAGUUCGGAAUUACUGGGCUUAAAGAGUUCGUAGGUGGUUGAAAAAGUUGGUGGUGAAAUCCCAGAGCUUAACUCUGGAACUGCCAUCAAAACUUUUCAGCUAGAGUAUGAUAGAGGAAAGCAGAAUUUCUAGUGUAGAGGUGAAAUUCGUAGAUAUUAGAAAGAAUACCAAUUGCGAAGGCAGCUUUCUGGAUCAUUACUGACACUGAGGAACGAAAGCAUGGGUAGCGAAGAGGAUUAGAUACCCUCGUAGUCCAUGCCGUAAACGAUGUGUGUUAGACGUUGGAAAUCUAUUUUCAGUGUCGCAGCGAAAGCGAUAAACACACCGCCUGGGGAGUACGACCGCAAGGUUAAAACUCAAAUGAAUUGACGGAGACCCGCACAAGUAGUGGAGCAUGUGGUUUAAUUCGAAGAUACGCGCAGAACCUUACCAACACUUGACAUGUUCGUCGCGACUCUAAGAGAUUAGAGUUUUCGUGGUUCGGCCGGACGAAACACAGGUGCUGCAUGGCUGUCGUCAGCUCGUGUCCGGUGAGAUGUUGGGUUAAGUCCCGCAACGAGCGCAACCCUCACUUUUAGUUGUGCCAUCAUUAAGUUGGGCACUCUGAAAGAACUGCCAGUGAUAAGCUGGAGACGAAGGUGGGGAUGACGUCAAGUCCUCAUGGCCCUUACGUGUUGGGCUACAAUCACGUGCUACAAUGGUAUCUACAACAGGAAGCAAGACUGCGAAGUUAAGCUUAAAUCCUUAAAAGAUACCUCAGUUCGGAUUGCACUCUGCAACUCGAGUGCGCAUGAAGCUGGAAUUACUAGUAAUCGUGGAUCAGCGUGCCACGGUGAAUGCUUGUUCCCGGGUCUUGUACACACCGCCCGUCAA